AGCGAACGCUGGCGGCAGGCCUAACACAUGCAAGUCGAACGAAGUCUUCGGACUUAGUGGCGGACGGGUGAGUAACACGUGGGAACGUGCCUUUAGGUUCGGAAUAACCCAGGGAAACUUGUGCUAAUACCGAAUGUGCCCUUCGGGGGAAAGAUUUAUCGCCUUUAGAGCGGCCCGCGUCUGAUUAGCUAGUUGGUGGGGUAAUGGCCCACCAAGGCUACGAUCAGUAGCUGGUCUGAGAGGAUGACCAGCCACAUUGGGACUGAGACACGGCCCAAACUCCUACGGGAGGCAGCAGUGGGGAAUCUUGCGCAAUGGGCGAAAGCCUGACGCAGCCAUGCCGCGUGGAUGAAGAAGGUCUUAGGAUUGUAAAAUCCUUUCACCGGUGAAGAUAAUGACUGUAGCCGGAGAAGAAGCCCCGGCUAACUUCGUGCCAGCCGCCGCCGUAAGAC
rnacentral:rRNA from 1 species